UCCUGGGUAGCUCAGAUGGUAGAGCGUCCCGCUGAAGACGGGAAGGUCGUCUGCUCGAAACAGACCCCAGGAGCCA
rnacentral:tRNA from 1 species